rnacentral:rRNA from 1 species
AGCAGCCGCGGUAAUUCCAGCUCCAAUAGCGUAUAUUAAAGUUGCUGCAGUUAAAAAGCUCGUAGUUGAAUUUCGGGACCAAUAUGUCGGUCGUGCCUCGGUACGUACUGGCAUCGUUGGUUUCUCCCUUCUGACGAACCAUGAUGUCAUUUAUUUGGUGUCGUGGGGAAUCAGGACUGUUACUUUAGAAAAAAUUAGAGUGUUUAAAGCAGGCUCACGCUUGAAUACAUUAGCAUGGAAUAAUGAAAUAGGACGUUUGAUUCUAUUUUGUUGGUUUCUAGGAUCGACGUAAUGAUUAAUAGGGAUAGUUGGGGGCAUUAGUAUUCAAUUGUCAGAGGUGAAAUUCUUGGAUUUAUUGAAGACUAACUACUGCGAAAGCAUUUGCCAAGGAUGUUUUCAUUAAUCAAGAACGAAAGUUAGGGGAUCGAAGACGAUCAGAUACCGUCGUAGUCUUAACCAUAAACUAUAGCCGACUAGGGAUCGGAUGAUGUAAUUUUUAAUGACUCAUUCGGCGUCCG